rnacentral:rRNA from 1 species
GAGCGGUAGCACAGAGAGCUUGCUCUCGGGUGACGAGCGGCGGACGGGUGAGUAAUGUCUGGGAAACUGCCUGAUGGAGGGGGAUAACUACUGGAAACGGUAGCUAAUACCGCAUAACGUCGCAAGACCAAAGUGGGGGACCUUCGGGCCUCAUGCCAUCAGAUGUGCCCAGAUGGGAUUAGCUAGUAGGUGGGGUAACGGCUCACCUAGGCGACGAUCCCUAGCUGGUCUGAGAGGAUGACCAGCCACACUGGAACUGAGACACGGUCCAGACUCCUACGGGAGGCAGCAGUGGGGAAUAUUGCACAAUGGGCGCAAGCCUGAUGCAGCCAUGCCGCGUGUGUGAAGAAGGCCUUCGGGUUGUAAAGCACUUUCAGCGGGGAGGAAGGCGGUGAGGUUAAUAACCUCGUCGAUUGACGUUACCCGCAGAAGAAGCACCGGCUAACUCCGUGCCAGCAGCCGCGGUAAUACGGAGGGUGCAAGCGUUAAUCGGAAUUACUGGGCGUAAAGCGCACGCAGGCGGUCUGUCAAGUCGGAUGUGAAAUCCCCGGGCUCAACCUGGGAACUGCAUUCGAAACUGGCAGGCUAGAGUCUUGUAGAGGGGGGUAGAAUUCCAGGUGUAGCGGUGAAAUGCGUAGAGAUCUGGAGGAAUACCGGUGGCGAAGGCGGCCCCCUGGACAAAGACUGACGCUCAGGUGCGAAAGCGUGGGGAGCAAACAGGAUUAGAUACCCUGGUAGUCCACGCCGUAAACGAUGUCGAUUUGGAGGUUGUGCCCUUGAGGCGUGGCUUCCGGAGCUAACGCGUUAAAUCGACCGCCUGGGGAGUACGGCCGCAAGGUUAAAACUCAAAUGAAUUGACGGGGGCCCGCACAAGCGGUGGAGCAUGUGGUUUAAUUCGAUGCAACGCGAAGAACCUUACCUGGUCUUGACAUCCACAGAACUUUCCAGAGAUGGAUUGGUGCCUUCGGGAACUGUGAGACAGGUGCUGCAUGGCUGUCGUCAGCUCGUGUUGUGAAAUGUUGGGUUAAGUCCCGCAACGAGCGCAACCCUUAUCCUUUGUUGCCAGCGGUUCGGCCGGGAACUCAAAGGAGACUGCCAGUGAUAAACUGGAG